rnacentral:rRNA from 1 species
AGGACGAACGCUGGCGGCGUGCUUAACACAUGCAAGUCGAGCGGAAGGCCUUCGGGUACGUCGAGCGGCGAACGGGUGAGUAACACGUGAGUAACCUGCCCUUGGCUUUGGGAUAACCCUCGGAAACGGGGGCUAAUACCGGAUAUUCACUUCGGCCGGCAUCGGUUGUGGUGGAAAGUUUUUCGGCCAGGGAUGGGCUCGCGGCCUAUCAGCUUGUUGGUGGGGUAAUGGCCUACCAAGGCGACGACGGGUAGCC